ACCUCUGCACGGUAUCUGUCUAAUAAAGCUUAACCACCUACCAUCUCCCAGCAGACCAACAGUGUUCUCUCUUGUACUGGACACUGUCUGUCUGACUGGCUCCUAUCAACCUCCUCUCUAGGAUAGAGAAAGUGGGAGUUUGGACUGAACUCUGUGCUCCCAGGGAUGUUUCUCAAUACGUUUCAUGUGGCUUCCUCUCCCUCUCCUCCUGUGAGUGUUAGUGGAAGAAAGACAAAGGUUCAUCUCAAGUCUUCAGUAGCUUCCUCUACUUUUCCCUCCUCCCCCUUGUCUUUCACCCAUCCAGUUCUUUUACAGACUGAUACAGGUAGAGAAGGUGAGGAUCCUUCAGGCAGAGGAGGUGAGGAUCAUUCAGGUAGAGGAGGAGAGGAUCAUUCAGGUAGAGGAGGAGAGGAUCCUUCAGGUAGAGGAGGAGAGGAUCAUUCAGGUAGAGGAGGAGAGGAUCAUUCAGGUAGAGGAGGAGAGGAUCAUUCAGGUAGAGGAGGAGAGGAUCAUUCAGGUAGAGGAGGAGAGGAUCAUUCAGGUAGAGGAGGAGAGGAUCAUUCAGGUAGAGGAGGUGAGGAUCAUUCAGGUAGAGGAGGAGAGGAUCAUUCAGGUAGAGGAGGAGAGGAUCAUUCAGGUAGAGGAGGUGAGGAUCAUUCAGGUAGAGGAGGAGAGGAUCAUUCAGGUAGAGGAGGUGAGGAUCAUUCAGGUAGAGGAGGAGAGGAUCAUUCAGGUAGAGGAGGUGAGGAUCAUUCAGGUAGAGGAGGAGAGGAUCAUUCAGGUAGAGGAGGUGAGGAUCAUUCAGGUAGAGGAGGAGAGGAUCAUUCAGGUAGAGGAGGAGAGGAUCAUUCAGGUAGAGGAGGUGAGGAUCAUUCAGGUAGAGGAGGAGAGGAUCAUUCAGGUAGAGGAGGUGAGGAUCAUUCAGGUAGAGGAGGAGAGGAUCAUUCAGGUAGAGGAGGUGAGGAUCAUUCAGGUAGAGGAGGAGAGGA